rfam:Aspergillus zonatus CBS 506.65 unplaced genomic scaffold ASPZOscaffold_3, whole genome shotgun sequence.
AGCAUGUUAGCUCAGCGGAAGAGCAUUGGGCUCAUAACCCAAGGGACCCUCGAUCGAAACGAGGACAUGCUA